CUGGGACCUGUUACUUGUAGAAGUCAGCAGAGCAGGACAGAAACUUGGAGAGAAUGUGGUGGAAGCUUUCAACAUUCUCAAAGCAGGUGAAGAAACACCCUGGAUUGGUGCCUUUGCUUGGUUUCACAAUGUUGGGUAUCACUAAUGGAACCAUCUACCUGAUGAAGUCUGCCCUUUCCAACCCAAAAUUAAGUUGGGUAAAGAAAGAAGAACCUGAGCCUUGGUAUAAAUGAGGUCCAGACCUCUAGAGGAGAGGUGAAGACCUACAGAUGCUCUUAUAAUGAAAACAGGAUCUAAACAUUUCUCCUGAAGAAGAUACUGAGCCACUGAUGGACCACUGCAAAAAAAUUAUAUUAUUACUUUUCCUUCUACAUGAAAUCACAGCUAUCUCUUUUUCCUCUGGGGAAUGAACAUCUUGUUUGGCCAGUCCAACAAUAAUAUAUUUAAAGUAACACUAAACCUCUAUAAACACUUACAAAAAAUAAUUAAAUACAUGUAUAAAAACCUCCCACUUAGAUGUGCCUCCAAGUCUAUCAGCUGCACAAGCAAGCUGUUUUGCUGAAAUUUUGCAGCACAGAGGAACCCUGUUCUCCCUGUCUCCUCCAUCUUCAGCAGGAGACUGGAAGUUCAGGGAAGGUGGACGGAGCUUAGCCCCCAUUGAGUAUAAUGGAGUCCAUAGUCUGUAUAGUGCUAAUGAAUAGAGAUACUCCAAGGUAAAAAUUACAACAGGGAUAGGUAAGGUAAAUAAAAAUAUAUAAUGGGUUCACCCAAGUUAAAAUAACAGCCCCCCCGUACAUAUUCCGCUCUAUACACCCAAUUAAAUAAAACAGAAUAUCUAAAAAUAUUUAAAAAGACCAAGGCUGUACCGUGGUAAGGUAAAAGCAAUUUAAUCCACAUAAAAUGAAAAAAUAGAAAAAUACAAAACAAUAACAAGAAUAAAAAUAUAAAAUCAAUUCAACCUUAGUCCCAAAUUAAACAUGUAGCGGGUUCCUCGCUAUAGUAACUGAUACAAAGUCCAUUAUCGUGUGGAUGAAUUAAAUGUCCAUACAAAUGUCCACAAUACCAGGCUAGUAUCAAUGCUAGUCUUGGAUCGAUGUUGUGAU